GACGAACGCUGGCGGCGUGCCUAAUACAUGCAAGUAGAACGCUAAAACUUGGUGGUUGCUACGCGCGGGUGAGUUGCGAAAGUGUCAGUAACGUGUCGGUCACCUGCCUGGUAGCGGGGGAUAACUAUUGGAAACGAUAGCUAAUACCGCAUAAGAGUGGCUGUUGCAUGACAUUUGCUUAUAAGUUGCAAUUGCGCCACUACCAGGUGCAACUGCGUUGUUUUAGCUGGUUGGUGGGGUAACGGCUCACCAAGGCGACGGUACAUAGCCGACCUGUGAGGGGGAUGGCGCACACUGAGAGUGAGAGGCGGCACAGACACUGAGGUGAGGCAGAAGUAGGGAAUCGUGGGCGAUGGACGGAAGUCUGACCGAGCGACGCCGCGUGAGUGAAGCAGGGCUUCGGGUCGUAUAGCGGUGUUGGAAGAGAAGAACGAGUGUGAGUGUGGAAAGGCCUCACUGUGACGGUAUCUUACCAGAAAGCGACGGCUAACUACGUG
rnacentral:rRNA from 1 species